rnacentral:rRNA from 1 species
AUUGAACGCUGGCGGCAGGCCUAACACAUGCAAGUCGAGCGGCAGCGGGAAAGUAGCUUGCUACUUUUGCCGGCGAGCGGCGGACGGGUGAGUAAUGCCUGGGAAAUUGCCCAGUCGAGGGGGAUAACAGUUGGAAACGACUGCUAAUACCGCAUACGCCCUACGGGGGAAAGCAGGGGACCUUCGGGCCUUGCGCGAUUGGAUAUGCCCAGGUGGGAUUAGCUAGUUGGUGAGGUAAUGGCUCACCAAGGCGACGAUCCCUAGCUGGUCUGGGAGGAGGAUCAGCCACACUGGAGCUGAGACACGGUCCAGACUCCUACGGGAGGCAGCAGUGGGGAAUAUUGCACAAUGGGGGAAACCCUGAUGCAGCCAUGCCGCGUGUGUGAAGAAGGCCUUCGGGUUGUAAAGCACUUUCAGCGAGGAGGAAAGGUUGAUGCCUAAUACGUAUCAACUGUGACGUUACUCGCAGAAGAAGCACCGGCUAACUCCGUGCCAGCCGCCGCCGUAA